rnacentral:misc_RNA from 1 species
UCUCAGAGCCUCCUCUACUUGAGAGACUAUGAGCAGAGAACUCCCUCUCCGCUUGAUGUGCAUAAGCUGACAUUGUUUUGAUAUGACCAGCAAUUACCAGCUCAACUAAUAUGGUGCAAAUAAAAGUCUCCAGUUCCCUUCCAAACUCAUAGAUGGAUAACCUGAGAGAGACAUGAAAGAGGUCAUGAUAUCAGGAACUGGGUAAGAAAGAAAUACACAAAAGAGUACUGCAAAUCUGCAAUGACUUAGAGACAGCUAUUUCUCCAUCAACUUUUUUGUCGUCACUCCCUAGAGGAAAUUUCUUCUUUCUUUUCAGAGGAGAUAAUAAAUUAAAUGAACAGAGAAGCCUGAUAUUUUGCUCAAGUU